rnacentral:lncRNA from 1 species
AGUACAUUCUCCGGCUGCUGCGGGUCUCUCAGGGCCAGCGAAGGUCAGGGGUACCCGAAGGCGCUUCUAACCUAACGGCUGGGUACCCGCGCGCAGCCAGGCCCUUUGUUCCUCAGAGGGUGCGAGGUGGCACAGCCCCGCAGCGCCCGAUCUGCCCACGCAGGGCGGAUGAACGGAAACCCACCCUGGCCUAGCUUGGGGACACCAAUGCUUCUGCUGUUGCCCACGCCGGGAGCGGCCCCCAGCCCCAGCUACGCUGCCCAGUUGUGGAUCACUUGAGACCGCUGCCACCACCACGCCGGGCUGAGUUCCCCGCCAUGCCGAAGACUCAGACCCGCUCCCCUUCCCCUCCUCUGCAUGCCUUUAGCUUCCCACCAAGCUGGGCCUGAGAAACAAGGGACCCGAACCUGGAGAGGCCGGUGUUCCUGGACUGCUCUGCAGUCACAGAUUGUCACGGAGCCCCUGGUUGUCUGAGGACCCCAGGCCUGAACCUUCCUUGAGGAAGACUGAUUUCUUUCAGACUACUUUGCUCAGUUUGGUGAGGGAUUUGCAGAGUGCAAAAAAUGGCCAGCGUCCUUAAACUAGCAUGGGGAUAAGAGCAGAGCAAGGUGGCUGGAAAGAGUGGGAGUGGACGAAGGGAAUGGGACAGUCCCUGCGUCUCUGGGAGGCUUGGAGCCGGCUGGAAGGGAAACUCAACUCAGAUUUCUUUGUCCCUUGGAGGUGCUGGGCCUCCGACAUUGCCCAGCUACAGUCCAAGAAGCUCUUAUCAUCGGCGACCUCAUGACCUUUGGGCCUCAGCGCAGGUCCCUGCAGAUCUGAAAGUUCUUUAAUUGCUGAGUCAAGUCCCAUCCUCAAGGAACCUCCCGGCCCAUCUCCCAGGAGAACAAUCUCUUCCUACUCCCCACUCCCCAUCUCAGUGCUUUUAGCCAGCCUAAACUACAAGCCCAAGAGGCAUUUCUCAUUCCUUCAACAAAUAUUUGUAUAUGUUUAUUGAUUACCUAGUAAGGGUAUUCUAGUCAGGGAGAUCAACAACAGACAUGCAAACAAAUAAAUCCGUAAGAUAAUAGGCGCUACAAACAGGGAAAAGCGGGCUGUGCACUGUGGCUCACACCUGUAAUCCCAGCGCUUUAGGAGGCCUAGGAGGGCGGAUCACCUGAGGUCAGGAGCUCGAGACCAGACUGACCAACAUGCUGAAACCCUGUCUCCACUAAAAAUACAAAAUUAGCCGGGCGUGGUGGCGCGUGCCUGUAAUCCCAGCUAUUCGGGAGGCUGAGGCAUGGGAAUCGCUUGAACCCAGGAGGUGGAGGUUGCAG